rnacentral:piRNA from 2 species
GCAAAUGUCAAAACACUUUCUGAGAACUCCC